UACGUAGGGCGCGAGCGUUGUCCGGAAUUAUUGGGCGUAAAGAGCUCGUAGGCGGCUUGUUGCGUCCGCUGUGAAAUCCCAGGGCUUAACCCUGGGCGUGCAGUGGAUACGGGCAGGCUAGAGGCAGGCAGGGGAGAACGGAAUUCCCGGUGUAGCGGUGAAAUGCGCAGAUAUCAGGAGGAACACCAAUGGCGAAGGCAGCUCGCUGGAACGGUACUGACGCUGAGGCGCGAAAGCGUGGGGAGCGAACAGG
rnacentral:rRNA from 1 species